UACGUAGGGGGCAAGCGUUGUCCGGAUUUAUUGGGCGUAAAGAGCGUGUAGGCGGCCAUACAGGUCAGCUGUGAAAACUCGAGGCUCAACCUCGAGACGUCGGUUGAAACCGUAUGGCUAGAGUCCGGAAGAGGAGAGUGGAAUUCCCGGUGUAGCGGUGAAAUGCGCAGAUAUCGGGAAGAACACCCAUGGCGAAGGCAGCUCUCUGGGACGGUACUGACGCUGAGGCACGAAAGCGUGGGGAGCAAACAGG
rnacentral:rRNA from 1 species